rfam:Japanese encephalitis virus isolate 10S3, complete genome
AGAAGUUUAUCUGUGUGAACUUCUUGGCUUAGUAUCGUUGAGAAGAAUCGAGAGAUUAGUGCAGUUUAAACAGUUUUUUAGAACGGAAGAACAACCAUGACUAAAAAACCAGGAGGGCCCGGAAAAAACCGGGCCAUCAAUAUGCUGAAAC